rnacentral:rRNA from 1 species
AUUGAACGCUGGCGGCAUGCCUUACACAUGCAAGUCGAACGGCAGCACGGGUGCUUGCACCUGGUGGCGAGUGGCGAACGGGUGAGUAAUACAUCGGAACGUACCCAGUUGUGGGGGAUAGCCCGGCGAAAGCCGGAUUAAUACCGCAUACGACCUGAGGGUGAAAGUGGGGGAUCGCAAGACCUCACGCAGUUGGAGCGGCCGAUGGCGGAUUAGCUAGUUGGUAGGGUAAAGGCCUACCAAGGCGACGAUCCGUAGCGGGUCUGAGAGGACGACCCGCCACACUGGAACUGAGACACGGUCCAGACUCCUACGGGAGGCAGCAGUGGGGAAUUUUGGACAAUGGGGGCAACCCUGAUCCAGCCAUUCCGCGUGAGUGAAGAAGGCCUUCGGGUUGUAAAGCUCUUUCGGCAGGAACGAAACGGUGGGCUCUAACAUAGCCUGCUAAUGACGGUACCUGAAGAAGAAGCACCGGCUAACUACGUGCCAGCCGCCGCGGUAA